GAGGAUAAAGCUCAGUGAUAAAGCGCAUGCUUAGCAAUGCAUGAGGUCCUGAGUUCAAUCCCCAGUACCUCCU
rnacentral:tRNA from 1 species